AGCCCCCACCUCCCACAGGCUUUUUACUACCCACCUGUACAUCACACCUGGGGCUUCUGUUUCCAUCUGACCCUUUCCUGAGCCCAUCCAAAUCAAGUUCCAAGUUCAGCACUAACUCAAGGAUAGCUGCAAGAGGUCCUCGCUCACCAGGAGAUUAACCCAAAAGGCUGCCAAAAUGAGAAGGGAAAGAGCAAGCGCAGUCCCUGAUAAGAGGCCCAAGAUGCCAGCGAAAUCAAAACAAAUGCACCUGCUUAAGGAAGAAUCGACCCACAGGGCAACCUCGCCCUACGGCCGUCUGUGGAACAUGUUAUCCCAGCCCCUGCUGUGGCGCUUGCCCAUUUACGGCUGUCUGCUGGCAGUAUUCUUCACGAUUGUGUUUGCACUUUUGUUUCACAACUUUAUGUAGCCAUCUCUUCUCACUCCUAAUAAAGCCUUUGCACCUGAAAGGCAAGGAGGAGCGU